GCUCCGGGGCUCGGGACCGAGUGUUCCGAGAGGAAGAACAGUGGAAGAGACUGCAGCCUAAAGACUUUUAAAAUUAACUUGGCAUCACUUUUCUCAGCUCAAAGGCUAAGCAAAAAAGCAGUGUCAUUUAUUCUAAGAAAUAACUUCUUAAAGGUUAAAGCUGAAAAAUAUUCAAGUUACUUUUGGAUAACAACUUACAGAGGUAAAUAUAACCAAGAAUUACCGUAUUAUGUAAGACCAGGUUAAAAAAAUAGAGGGGGAAAGGAAAAGAGCUUUGGAGCUGUUAUUGGAGAGGUAGCAACAAUUCAGUAAUUGAAAUCUGCUAGAAGAGACAAUGCUAAUUGUAAAUGUUAAAUUACAGUAGAUAACUCUAGGUAAAAUAGCCCUAAUUAAAAAAAAAAAAAAAGACUGAAACCAGUUCAGUUCCUGUGGUUCUGGGAUUAUUCACUAGUAACGCCUUUGGAAACAGAUACUAAUACAAUGGUCUACUUUAUGUAUCCCAGGAGGCAUGUCACAUUGAAAUGACUGCCUUAAAUCGUGG
rnacentral:lncRNA from 1 species